ACAGACUGAAAAUGGUCCCAGGUGUUGCAGUGGUCUGGGGCCAGAUAACUGUGCCUACAGUAUUGUGGUGCGUUAAGCUUAUCACCUGCUCCUCCUGUUGGCAGUGUGAUAAAACCCAUGUGCCAACAUAU
ensembl:snoRNA small nucleolar RNA ACA64